rnacentral:rRNA from 1 species
GGGUCAGUAGGUUGGUCGUGCCACCGGUACGUACUGGUCUCACUGAUUCCUCCUUCCUGAAGAACCGUAAUGCCAUUAAUUUGGUGUUGCGGGGAAACAGGACUAUUACUUUGAAAAAAUUAGAGUGUUAGAGCAAGCUAACGCUUGAAUACAUUAGCAUGGAAUAAUGAAAUAGGACGAUCGAUCCUAUUUUGUUGGUUUCUAGGAUUGACGUA